GACGAACGCUGGCGGCGUGCUUAACACAUGCAAGUCGAACGGAAAGGCCCAAGCUUGCUUGGGUACUCGAGUGGCGAACGGGUGAGUAACACGUGGGUGAUCUGCCCUGCACUUCGGGAUAAGUCUGGGAAACUGGGGCUAAUACCGGAUAGGACGAUGGGUUGGAUGCCAUUGGGUGAAGCUUUUACGGUGUGGGAUGAGCCCGCGGCGCGUCAGCGGGUUGGUGGGGUAUUGGCCUAUCAAGGCGCCGACGGGUAGCCGGCGCGAGAGAGGGUAGGGGCACACUGGACCUGGGAUACGGGCCCCAGUCCUACGUGAGGCAGAAGUGGGGAAUAUUGCACACUGGGCGCGGGAGUGAUGCAGCGAGGCCGCGUGGGGGGUGACCGCCUUCGGGUUGUAAGCUCCUAUCUCUAGUGAUAAGGCGAUUUUGUGACGGUACCUGGAGAAGAAGCACCGGCUAACUACGUG
rnacentral:rRNA from 1 species